rnacentral:rRNA from 1 species
GACGAACGCUGGCGGCGUGCUUAACACAUGCAAGUCGUACGGUAAGGCCCUUUCGGGGUUACACGAAUGGCGAACGGGUGAGUAACACGUGAGUAACCUUCCCACAACUUUGUGCUAACGCUAGGAAACUGGUGCUAAUACUGUAUAUUUUCUCCUGCUGCAUGGUGGGGGUUGGGAAGCUCCGGCGGUUGUGGAUGGACUCGCGGCCGAUCAGCUUGUUGGUCGGAUAGUGGCCCACCAAGGCGGCGACCGGUAGCCGGCCUGCGAGGGUGACCGGCCACAUUGGGACUGAGAUACGGCCCAGACUCCUACGGGAGGCAGCAGUGGGGAGUAUUGCACAAUGGGAGCAAGCCUGCCGCAGCAACGCCGCGUGCGGGAUGACGGCCUUCGGGUUGUAAGCCGAGUUCAGCAGGGACGAAGCUUUUUGUGACGGUACCUGAAGAAGAAGCACCGGCUAACUACGUG